rnacentral:rRNA from 1 species
UACGAAGGGUGCAAGCGUUACUCGGAAUUACUGGGCGUAAAGCGUGCGUAGGUGGUGAGUUAAGUCUGUCGUGAAAGCCCCGGGCUCAACCUGGGAAUGGCGAUGGAUACUGGCUCGCUAGAGUGCGGUAGAGGGUGGUGGAAUUCCCGGUGUAGCAGUGAAAUGCGUAGAGAUCGGGAGGAACAUCAGUUGCGAAGGCGGCCGCCUGGACCAGCACUGACACUGAGGCACGAAAGCGUGGGGAGCAAACAGG